rnacentral:lncRNA from 1 species
CCCGACCAAUGAAAUCAGAAUUUUGGUCUGAGACCCAGGCAGAGAUGAGUUAAAAGCUCUCCAGGUGAUUCUAAUGUGCAGACAAGGUUAUAAACCCUGCUUUAGACAGAGGUCUUGCCUCCACGUUACGACCUGGCCUCCACGGAAUUCUCUGAUGCACCAUGAUUCAAGGAGUGACUAUGGAAGAGCCUUCCUGCAGGAUGGAGGAAUAAGCUAAAUGACACCCCCUCUAGGAAUUACCAGAUAGAUCCAGAAGGUGCGAAAUUCUGCCGUUCAACUGGCCUUGUCUCUUUAAGGAGACAGUACUAUGAAGAAAGAAAUUGUGCUCUAUGAAAUAACAGCUACCAUAUGUAACCAUCAGUUCUGUAGAUGGUGCCCCAUUAUCUCCUAUGUCCCACUGCUGGAGAGGAGAAGUCUCAGCCUGAGCUGGCUCUGGUUCUUUGGAAAUAAUUGGGGCUGGCCCCAUGGCCGAGUGGUUAAGUCUGUGCGCUCCGCUGCAGGCGGCCCAGUGUUUCGUUGGUUCGAAUCCUGGGCACGGACAUGGCACUGCUCAUCAAGCCAUGCUGAGGCGGCAUCCCACAUGCUACAACUAGAAGGACCCACAACGAAGAAUAUACAACUAUGUACUGGGGGGCUUUGGGGAGAAAAAGGAAAAAAUAAAAUCU